rnacentral:lncRNA from 1 species
GCAUAAUGUGAGGCAAGGUCUAGCUGUUCCCCCCCGGCAUACAAGCUUAUAGAGCAGCCUCCUUUGAAGAUCUCCAGGUGGACUUCACAGAGAUGCCAAAGUGUGGAGGUGUUCGAGUGUGGAUCAAGGACUGGAACGUAGCCUCUUUGUGCCCAUGGUGGAAAGGACCCCAGACUGUCGUCCUGAUCACUCCCACUGCUGUGAACGUAGAGAGAAUCCUAGCCUGGAUCCAUCACAACCGUGUAAAACCUGCAGCGCCUGAAUCCUGGGAGGCAAGACCAAGUCUGGACAACCCCUGCAGAGUGACCCUGAAGAAG